CUACCAUAAUGCAAGGCUAGAUGCUAGGUAGAUUAAUCAGCUAAGGCCCCCCCAUAAGAGCACAUGUCGAUGUACGGAUAACUUUAAGUUGGUGACACAAGUUCGGUCCUUACGGACUUGAGCAAGCUCUCCCCCUAUCAGUAUGCAACUAACACCAUAUGCAUACCACUUGCUGCUCAAAUCACAACCAUACUUUUACACAUUUUAGUUCGCAAAUAAUCAUCAUUUUCAUUUUAAUUCCAGCAAGGGUUCACUUAGUAAAAUCACAUUUUAAUUAUUGAUGAAAUAAGCAUUUGCAUACUUCUAAGCAUGGCUAAGCUAGUAGUUGCAUAUAUAAAUCCAUUUGAGCACAAGAUAUGUACUCUAACCAUUCUAGGGGUACAAACAGCAAGGAUCACAAUUAUUCAAGGUAGGGAAUGCAGCAAAUAGGUCAUAGCUACCAUAACCAAGUUUUAAAUAUCGAUAUAGUCUAAAUUCACAUGCAUCUUUGCAAACAAACAUUUUCAUCUCCCAAAUCAUGGGUUUCAAUGUGAUCAAAGGAAAAGGGAGGAAACACUUGCCUUGAUCCUGGAAAUGUUAGCUCCUAAUUCACUUCUUCACCGUUAUGCAAUUAUCUAUAUAAAGUACACGUUAUGCAAUUAAACACCGAAAUAUGCGAAAAUCCAAAAUGCUCUAAAAUGCAUGAUUUGUGCACAUUGGAUAGGUACUGGUCUAGGAUGAAUUUAGGUGAAAGAAUUUCUAUUUUAUCUCAUUCCAUUUGAGAGUUAUGAAUUUUAUAAAUUAUAUCGGUAUAAUUUAGGAUUUUAUUAGGCAGUGUUGUAAAAUACUUUUAUAAAGUGAUUUUUUUUAUUAAACUUGACUUCACAGAGGUGUUGAGAUGUGUUUUAUAAGACUAACACAUUUGGUUUCAUAAUUUUUAGAGUUAUUAUGAAUUCUUUAGGUAUUUUUGCAAAUUAUAACGUGUUGUAGGCAUAUAGUGUUUUAUGUGUAUAUGGUUUUGGAGUUUAAUGUCCAGAUCAUGUUCCAUCUUAGGUGUUGAGAUGUGUUUUAUAAGGUUAACACAUUUGGUUUCAUAAUUUUUAGAGUUAUUAUGAAUUCUUUAGGUAUUUUUGCAAAUUAUAACGUGUUGUAGGCAUAUAGUGUUUCAUGUGUAUAUGGUUUUGGAGUUUAAUGUCCAGAUCAUGUUCUAUCUUGUUUGAGAUGUAUAAAAUGACUAAUUUUGUUAACCAAUAUAAUUUUAGUUCAUGAUUUUAGAUAUUAUAUAACUUUACUUCACAUUUUAUAAGCUAGGGAAAUAUUCUAUGUAAGUUACUUAAUCUUUUAACCUAAAGAUUAUUAGGUCAGCUAAGUUCAUCUAGGUUUUUGGUGAAUGAGGAUGAAUGUACAGAUUCUCUGGUCUAACUAGUUUUAAUUAGUUUAUUUAGAGCUAGAGUGCAUUUUUUUUACAUAAUUUGCUUAACUAAUACUCCCUCCAUUCCCUCCAUUCCAAAUUGAUCUACAUAUUUCAUAGGUACACCAAGACCAAGAAAAGCUAAUAACUCUCUCAUAGUAUAUUUACUCUAGCAACAAACUCAAUGCAUACACCAUCCCCACUAUUUCCUAGCCAAUAGCAAAUCAAGAUAUUGCAUGUGGGUUAUAAAUACAUGUGUGCAUGGAUGCAUACAUCAAUGUUCAUUUACUCCAAUGCACAAAUAAUGAAUAGACCUAAUAAAUGAACACAAAUAUGUAGAUCACUCAGCAAGCACAAUAUAGAACUAGAAAACAUGUAUACACAUUAUUGGCAAUAAAGUCUGAACAGGACACUUUCUUUCUUUGAAAAGAAACACAUUUCAAACACCAAGUUAAAGAAAAUAGUAGUUCCCAUCCCGGGCAAACAUGAAUUGAAAUAGUAGUUUCCAUCCCGGACAAUUAUGAAUACAUCCUAGCAUUUGCCAGCAAAGCCGAGUAAGCGUGAUCAGCGCUUACCCACAGGAACCUGAAUAAAAACUAGAUAGCACAUCCAUGACUCGCAUGGAACAUGAAUAGUUGAAACCGGAAACAAAGAAACAAAUUGAAACAUCCAUGUCAAGCAUGGAACUUGAAUUAUUUAAACAGAACCAUAAUCUGGAAUAUUGAAAUAAGAAUAACAUCGUAAACACAAGAUAAAGUUGAAAUAUAUAUGGCGUAAACAAACAAUCUGAAUAUAAGCAAUCACAUAUCACAUAUCACAUAAAAAUAUAUCGGACAUAAAUAGAUAGAGCAAACAAUCUAUGAAUCACACAGUUAGUUCGUCAUGCACUUGCCUUUAACCUUGACGGCAACCUGGCGAAACCCCCUCCACACCUGUGGAGUAAAGCUACAAGUAAAACCUCUAUCGAGGAAUCGUUGAGACUAACUAUACAUGUCCAAAACAUUAUGAAAGAUCAAAACCUAAAUUUGGUAUUUAUCUGGCAACCACACAAAACCACCUAUACUAGCCCUAUACAAUGUUAUAUACAUAUUUCACAAUCCACCUAACAAAAAGUAGCAACCGAUAUCACUUUAGACAUCUAGACAAAAUUCUCUACAACUUUCAUGUGGGUGAAAAAAAUCAGAUUAAGCCUAUGAAAGUCCCAGAUUAUGGAAAACGAAUUAUUGUCCUAGUACUGUUUCUAUUGUUUCUCCCAAACCAUUUAUCGGAAUUGAGUGAAACCAGCGCCAUUAGAAAGAUAUUGAUGAUGAAUACAAACUUUAUUUAGGACAACUAACCUGAAUCACAAUGGCCUGUUUAAUGCCAGAUUUUAAAAUACUGUUUCAGCCCAUAAUCAAGAACCUCAAAAAUUGCACAAGCGACUAUCGAAUCAAUUUCUAUUCGAAUCUUAUACUUCUAGGGAGUAACCAAAAGUACUGUUGCAGCGAGGAUACUAGAAUUUCGAAACAAACCCACUAGUUGCGAAGUCACCGAAAUCCCCAAAAUUACUCGGCCUUUACCUUCCCUUCUUCCUCCUGUUCCCCUGCUUCCUCUGCUCUCUGCACCCUUCUCCUCUCUGACCGAUGCAGUACCAGCCACCAGCAGCAGCAGCAGCAGGGGAAGGUUAGUAGCGGCAGCAAGCAAACAAGCAACAGCCCUAGAUCAGAUUGGCAGCAGUAAGACCUCACCGGGAAGAAGCGGAACCGAAAGAAUCCACCGGUUGUGAUGGAGGAUGAUGGCUGCAGCGACCGGCAAUGGUCGGGGCAGUGGUGGCGACACAGAAGCGGCGGCGGUGACAGGAAUGGCAGC
rnacentral:lncRNA from 1 species